rnacentral:lncRNA from 1 species
GGAACCAUAUUGUUCUUAACAUAGACAUCAACCGAGUAUACAUCACAAGCAAUAUCAGAGUGAGAUGCAGAAGGAGAAUCAUAGACACAGGUAGAAUAAGCAUUGCUCACAUAACCAAAAUAGGUAGACAUGGGAAAGAAGGGGGAAAAGAAGAAUGCAAUGAAAAUAUGCAACUAAAGCUACCUAAAUGCAACACACAAUGACGAACACACAAAACAGAACAUCACACUCACAACACAAGAAAAAACACAACACACACUAACAUAACAAAAGACCUAAAAUUGAACCGUUGGUCCCCGACAGCGGCGCCAAAAUUUGAUGGGUGUCGUAGCCCAUACAAAUUUGAUUGCAUAUGAGAAUGCAGUAUAGUGCUAGGAAGUGACUCCUAGCUCGUCUCUCAAGGACCAAACUAUGGUUCAAGUAUUAGGUCAAACUAUGGUUCA